rnacentral:rRNA from 1 species
UACGGAGGGGGCGAGCGUUGUCCGGAAUUAUUGGGCGUAAAGAGCUCGUAGGCGGUCUGUCACGUCGGAUGUGAAAGCCCGGGGCUUAACCCCGGGUCUGCAUUCGAUACGGGCAGACUAGAGUGUGGUAGGGGAGAUCGGAAUUCCUGGUGUAGCGGUGAAAUGCGCAGAUAUCAGGAGGAACACCGGUGGCGAAGGCGGAUCUCUGGGCCAUUACUGACGCUGAGGAGCGAAAGCGUGGGGAGCGAACAGG